rnacentral:rRNA from 1 species
UUAAAGGAAUUGACGGGGCCGCACAAGCGGUGGAGCAUGUGGUUUAAUUCGACGCAACGCGAAGAACCUUACCAGGGCUUGACAUCCCCUGACCGCGUAUGAAAGUACGUUUUCACCCUCGGGUGACAGGGAGACAGGUGGUGCAUGGUUGUCGUCAGCUCGUGUCGUGAGAUGUUGGGUUAAGUCCCGCAACGAGCGCAACCCCUAUCUCUAGUUGCCAGCGAUUCGGUCGGGGACUCUAGAGAUACUGCCCCGGUUAACGGGGAGGAAGGUGGGGAUGACGUCAAGUCCUCAUGGCCCUUAUGCCCAGGGCUACACACGUGCUACAAUGGGCGGUACAAAGGGUAGCGAUGCCGCGAGGUGAAGCCAAUCCCAAAAAGCCGUCCACAGUUCGGAUUGGAGUCUGCAACUCGACUCCAUGAAGCCGGAAUCGCUAGUAAUCGUGGAUCAGCAUGCCACGGUGAAUACGUUCCCGGGCCUU